rnacentral:rRNA from 1 species
GACGAACGCUGGCGGCGUGCCUAAUACAUGCAAGUAGAACGCACAGUUUAUACCGUAGCUUGCUACACCAUAGACUGUGAGUUGCGAACGGGUGAGUAACGCGUAGGUAACCUGCCUGGUAGCGGGGGAUAACUAUUGGAAACGAUAGCUAAUACCGCAUAAUAUUGAUUAUUGCAUGAUAAUUGAUUGAAAGAUGCUAUUGCAUCACUACCAGAUGGACCUGCGUUGUAUUAGCUAGUAGGUGAGGUAACGGCUCACCUAGGCGACGAUACAUAGCCGACCUGAGAGGGCGAUCGGCCACACUGGGACUGAGACACGGCCCAGACUCCUACGGGAGGCAGCAGUAGGGAAUCUUCGGCAAUGGACGAAAGUCUGACCGAGCAACGCCGCGUGAGUGAAGAAGGGUGUCGGAUCGUAAAGCUCGGUUGUAAGAGAAGAACGGGUGUGAGAGUGGAAAGUUCACACUGUGACGGUAUCUUACCAGAAAGGGACGGCUAACUACGUG